UUCUACUCUGCUCCUUCAUCGCUGCUGCUCCUUCACCCACGAGGCUGCUCCUUCACCGACACCGACGAGGCUGCUCCUUCUCGUUCGAGAUUGAACAAGCUAAUUGGUGAUUAGUCAAUUUGAGUAGAAGUUCGUUACACCUGGAUUCAGCUCCACGCUUCUGUCCAGUGCUUUCUAUUAUUUGUCCAAGUUGAUUCGCAAAGGUAAAAUCCUCACCAGUGGUUAUCGCAAAGGCAGACUUUCUUGUGGUUAUUCAUGGUGGACAAUCUGUAUUUGUUCUGUAGGUGCAUUAUAUUGUGCAGUAUGCGCAUAAGAAGACCAUUAGGAGUAUUAACAUUCUAGUGUCUAGGCAAGCAUAUUGAAUUUGCAUUGCUGUUUGGGUGUACUUUUCAAUAGUUGUCAGUGAGCAAGCUUGUUGUACCUGAAUUAUCUUUACAGUGAGUUAUAUGUUGACAAUAACAUCACGCCCCGCAGAACAUCCAAGCAUAUCACUAGUCAAGAAGCUGUAUGUAUUGUAAAUGUUCUUUGGAGUUGGAUACCCUGCACCUUAUCUUCUACUGUCGUCGCUGCAUGUUUUGUCAUCAUCAAGAAGCCGUAUGUAUGGACUGCCGAGGUUUUAUUCAAAACUGAUUCCUGGGUGCGUGUGUAA